CACCGAUAUUCUUUGCGCCGUCACUGUCCACGAUGUUCUCUCAUAGUAGCUUUUAUCAAUAAAUUAUCUUGAUUGAUAUGCAGUUAACAAGAAAUUAGACGAAAGUGUGGGACUUGCAACGCCAACAAAGACAGCAGUUACACAUAAAGACUGGGACAGUUUGCAGAACUUUAGUUUAUUGAGAUGUGAUUUGUGACGUGGCAAAAUAUGCUGUAAACAACAUGAGGACUCUGAAGAUGACAGGUUUCCAAACACCCGCGUGGCCUCCAAAACUGCAUCCAUACUGGAGCCCAGCAAGAGCUUGAGCAGCACUGCGGUGACAGAAGGACAGGCCGGGGGGAGAUUACAAAGACAGAUGCGACACACAGGAUGGGAUCUCUUUCUCUAUUUCAAAAAGGAAACGCACAACCACCUCUUCACCCCUAUCAAUGCCUCCUUCUGAAACUUCCACAUGCAGAACCAAAACCAAUCUUGCAGCCUUCACACAAUCAAACCGCCGGGCUGCUCAAGUCAAGAUCUGUGCACAAGUCUGCAGUCUGGUUGUUCUCAUCAUUGGAGAGGAUGCAGUAACUGUGGGGUCUGUGCCAGUAACUGACGCGGAGAGAACAGCAUGUGAUUGCAGUGCACAGCAACCAACCUGCAUUCAUUCAAGUUCAAGGAAGUAAACUUAGCCCGAAA
rnacentral:lncRNA from 1 species